GCAGUGUCGUAAUCCACCAAAUCCGGCAACGGGUUAGGAAACCAUCGCUCCGUCCCGAUUUGGAGACUAUUCAUCCAAAGCUUUCGAAACACGCCAUACUGGGUAUCUGCCUUGGGCAAAUGUAUUCCACAGUUCCUGGGUACAAAUUUUUGCCACACCGAAUUUGAACGAGACACAACAUUCCAGCGCUUACAUACCAAGCUCAGUUUCAUAACAUCAUAAAGCGGAAGCUCAAAAAAUAUUUUCUCUAAUAUUUCAUCAGGAAGUGUCGACGAGCAAUCUAAUUUCCUCUCUGUUCCAGACAUGGAAUGCGAAUCUGAGUCCUGCAUCACUAGACGUAAACAUAAGAAAAACGUUCAUUUAUUUCAUAGGGGUGGACUGUGUCAAGCUUGGAAAUGUGAG
rnacentral:lncRNA from 1 species